CGGACGGGUGAGUAACACGUGGAUAACCUACCUAUAAGACUGGGAUAACUUCGGGAAACCGGAGCUAAUACCGGAUAAUAUUUUGAACCGCAUGGUUCAAAAGUGAAAGACGGUCUUGCUGUCACUUAUAGAUGGAUCCGCGUUGCAUUAGCUAGUUGGUAAGGUAACGGCUUACCAAGGCAACGAUGCAUAGCCGACCUGAGAGGGUGAUCGGCCACACUGGAACUGAGACACGGUCCAG
rnacentral:rRNA from 1 species